GAUGAACGCUGGCGGCGUGCUUAACACAUGCAAGUCGAACGGGAAAUAUUUCAUUGAGACUUCGGUGGAUUUGAUUUAUUUCUAGUGGCGGACGGGUGAGUAACGCGUGGGUAACCUGCCUUAUACAGGGGGAUAACAGUCAGAAAUGGCUGCUAAUACCGCAUAAGCGCACAGAGCUGCAUGGCUCAGUGUGAAAAACUCCGGUGGUAUAAGAUGGACCCGCGUUGGAUUAGCUAGUUGGUGGGGUAACGGCCCACCAAGGCGACGAUCCAUAGCCGGCCUGUGAGGGUGAGCGGCCACAUUGGGACUGAGCCACGGCCCAGACUCCUACGGGAGGCAGCAGUGGGGAAUAUUGCACAAUGGGGGAAACCCUGAUGCAGCGACGCCGCGUGAAGGAAGAAGUAUCUCGGUAUGUAAACUUCUAUCAGCAGGGAAGAUAGUGACGGUACCUGACUAAGAAGCCCCGGCUAACUACGUG
rnacentral:rRNA from 1 species